rnacentral:rRNA from 1 species
GACGUAGGGCGCGAGCGUUGUCCGGAUUUAUUGGGCGUAAAGAGCUCGUAGGCGGCUUGUCGCGUCGACUGUGAAAUCCCGAGGCUCAACUUCGGGCUUGCAGUCGAUACGGGCAGGCUAGAGUUCGGUAGGGGAGACUGGAAUUCCUGGUGUAGCGGUGAAAUGCGCAGAUAUCAGGAGGAAUACCGAUGGCGAAGGCAGGUCUCUGGGCUAUAACUGACGCUCAUGCACGAAAGCGUGGGGAGCAAACAGG